GAUGAAGAACGUAGUGAAAUGCGAUAAGUAGUGUGAAUUGCAGAAUUCAGUGAAUCAUCGAAUCUUUGAACGCACAUUGCGCCCCUUGGUAUUCCAUGGGGCAUGCCUGUUCGAGCGUCAUUUGUACCCUCAAGCUAUGCUUGGUGUUGGGUGUUUGUCCUCUCCUUUGCGAUUGGACUCGCCUUAAAGACAUUGGCAGCCAGUGUAUUGGUCUUGAAGCGCAGCACAUUUUGCGAUUCUUGCUGAUAAUCACUAGCGUCCAGUAAGCCUAUUUUAACACUUUUGACCUCGGAUCAGGUAGGGAUACCCGCUGAACUUAAGCAUAUCAUAAGCGGAGGA
rnacentral:misc_RNA from 1 species